GGUAAUUUUUGGUUGGUUGUCUCGGGGUGCCGACCGCCCAAGCCCCUUUUAAACUUCGUCUCUCCAGCGCCUUCCCUUUUCCGACGCGGUGUGCGACUCGGCACAGUCCAGUUCAAGAUGCUGAUGAACUUCAGGUCUGGUGCUCGAAAGACAAUCGUGGUGUUUGAAAGAAGCUUUUCAAGUAGAUACAGUGUAUUUGAACAUAUGGUGAUUGAAUAGAGGCUUUUGCUCUCUUUGUCCCUUU